rnacentral:misc_RNA from 1 species
GUGAAUUAAACAUGCUUUGGUGUCUUCGCUUCGGCAAGGCCCCUUGCUUAAAAUCACAUCCUAACACCUGUGAACUGUAAGACGUAUGAUGAGGUCUUUUGGCCAAGUCAUCGUCUGCCCCAUUUUUUAACAAACAAUUAAUGUAACAAACGUAGUCUUAUUAAUAACCUAAUA